UACGUAGGUGACGAGCGUUGUCCGGAUUUACUGGGCGUAAAGAGCGCGCAGGCGGUCGGUCAAGUCGAGUGUGAAAGCCCCCGGCUCAACUGGGGAGGGUCACUCGAUACUGAUCGACUCGAAGGCAGGAGAGGGUAGUGGAAUUCCCGGUGUAGUGGUGAAAUGCGUAGAUAUCGGGAGGAACACCAGUGGCGAAGGCGACUACCUGGCCUGUUCUUGACGCUGAGGCGCGAAAGCUAGGGGAGCAAACAGG
rnacentral:rRNA from 1 species